rnacentral:rRNA from 1 species
GGCUAAAGCAUGCAAGUCGAGCGAACCCGCAAGGGUGAGCGGCGGACGGGUUAGUAAUACGAUCGAACGUACCUCGAGGUGGGGGAUAGGCACGGGAAACUGUGCGUAAUACCCCAUGAUCUCUCCGGAGCAAAGGUUUACCGCCUUGAGAUCGGCGAUCGUCCUAUCAGCUAGUUGGCGGGGUAAAGGCCCACCAAGGCUAUGACGGGUAGCAGGUGUGAGAGCACGACCUGCAACAUCGGGACUGAGACACUGCCCGGACUCCUACGGGAGGCUGCAGCGACGAAUCUUCCGCAAUGGGCGCAAGCCUGACGGAGCGACGCCGCGUGUGGGAUGAAGCGCCUUCGGUGUGUAAACCACUGUCAGGAAAUAGAACCAAUGAUCAUUUCCAAAGGAAGAGACGGCUAACCCUGUGCCAGCAGCCGCGGUAAGACAGGGGUCUCGAGCGUUAAUCGGAAUUACUGGGCUUAAAGGGUGCGUAGGCCGGCCCGCAAGUGCUUUGUGAAAUCCCAUGGCUCAACCAUGGAACUGCUUGGCAUACUGCGGGUCUUGAGGAAGUAGGGGUUGCCAGAACUGUAGGUGGAGCGGUGAAAUGCGUAGAUAUCUACAGGAAUGCCGAUGGUGAAGACGGGCAACUGGGCCUUUCCUGACGCUGAGGCACGAAAGCGUGGGGAG